UGGGUUGGCCAAAAAGUUCGUUCAGUUUUUCCAUGUGUUUCGGAAAAAUCCAAACAAACUUUUUGGUCAACCCAAU
rnacentral:miRNA from 1 species